UUUUGUCUUUGGCAGGGGAGACUGCCACCCUUCUUCCAACGUGCCAAUCAUCAGCCUCAGGCCAACCAGGCUGCUGCAUGGAUAUUGGUCAGCCCACAGAGGAACAGAGGACAAGUGCCAGGGAUGGCCAGGGCCCAGGGAGCAUGGAUGUGUCUAAUGGCUGCUAACCAAGGGAUCAACAAAGCCCCUGCUUGUCCCAAAAGUGCCCCGGCUCAAACUUGCCAAAUACUUUUCAAGUGGAUGACAAGUCUACCAGAAAGACCCAAGAGUGCUACAGCACAAAUGUACCAGGGGAUGACUGCACCCAGAUGAUGCAGCUUUCAAAUGAGCAAGCUAGGAAAGGCCACUGAAACCAGGGAGUGCUGAAAUUGAAAGCCUUCCCUUAAGAAGUCUCCGGAUUCGUGGACCCCACCCUGUGCUCCAAAAUAUGGCGAUUGUCCAUCUGGCUACACUCAGGCCCAGAAGACCUAUGCACAGAUAUUGGUCCGCCUAUGGAGGAACAGCCAUGAAGCACAGGGGAUGUCCAUUCCCCAGGAAGUACAGAUACGCCUAAUGAUUCAAGGUCACAACAACACGACCAGGGGAUGACCACUGCACCAGAAUUAUCAAGAAGUGCCACAAUUCAAACCAAGGAAAUCGCCCUACAUUUGCCCUACAUUUUGUCCUUCUUUUUUAUAAUCUUUAUUAAGUGUUAUGAGAUUUAUACAGAAAACAUUUUAUCCUACUUUUUUUUUACAUUUGUCCUGGUUUGGAGAUAGACAAUUAUGUCAACCCUCUAUGUGCAGAUAUUGGCCUGCCCACAAAACAACAGCCACUGUAAAUAAGCUAUCCAAAAUCUGUUUUGAGUGUGAGGGACAGCAUCUUAGGUACUGUAGCUCUUUUAGUUCUGGCUAAAAUGUAGAAUGUAUUCCUAAUUCCACUGAUAUGGAAACCAUCAGCCCCUGCUGCAUUGAGGUGAUGCUAACCAAUUUGACUCUCAAGACGUCAGCAACAGUUUCAUCACCAGGAAUGCUGUGGGGAGCCUCCAAUUUCAUAUCUUCUCCAUAAUAAUGAAAAGAAGAAGGAAGGAAGGAAGGAAGGAAGGAAGGAAGGAAGGAAGAAGAGCCCAUGGACUUCUAAUCACAUUUAAUUGUAUCCAUUUUUCUCUCUCACCCUCAUCUUUUCUUUCUCUUUGUUUUCUUUCAUCCAUAACUUCUACAUUUUGUAGGAUCUCAUCUUUAUGUAUUCAAAAACAUAGCCAUGUUAGUCUGUAAAACCAAUAUGUGAAGAUAUCUUGUAGCACCUUUGAGACUAACUGAAAGAAAUUGGCAUCUAAGGAAGUAGACUUAAGGCUAUGAAAGCGCAUGCUGCCAAUUUCUUUCAGUCGGUCUCAAAGGCUCUACAAGAUCUUUUCACAGACUUUUAUGCAUGAUACCUGCAAAACGCCAUAUGCAUUGAUGGUAUAGAAAAUAUAAAGCUCUUCUUUCUGUGCUUUUUUGGUACAACUCAUUCUGGCCCUAUCCACAGCAAGCCAGUCACUUGGCUUGUGGGAGAAAAAAGCAGGGCAUAUUUCCUGCCUCUGCAGAGUCUAUUGAUAGCAACAGGGGCAUCCUGUGGCUUUCAUGUCAAGUGUGUGGUGAAGUCCUGGAUCCUGCCCCCCAGAUAGAUUCAUCAUCUUGGAUAGUGCCUAUGAAAUAAGGAUUAAAACCCAACUCUAUGAUUCUAUGAAAAUUUGACUACAUUUCUGACAAAGAAGCUUUCAGCCUUGAUAGCCAAGGAGAAUGAAAACAGGAAACGCUGCACAUCUUUGAGACCUAUUUACUGUAUUUCAGCAUGAGCUUUCAUGGAUACCAAUCAACAUUUUCGGAUGCACUGAUGGAGUAUAAAACUAUAUACUUGUGUGCCUUCAAGUCAUUUCCGACUCAUGACAACCUGAAGGCAACCCUCUCAUGGGGUUUUAUUGGCAUGAUUUCUUCAGAGGGGGAUAGUCAUGAUCUUCCUCAGAGGCUGAGAGUGUGUGAUUUAGACAUAGGUGUUUAAGAACAGCUAUAUAAUUGUGGGAGUAGGAUCAGAAUGUAAUAGGAUACAGAAAAAGGCAAACUGUGACCUUGACCAUAAAUCUUUAAAGAGGUGUAUGAGUUCAUUGAAUUUGUAAAUAUAUCUCAGUUCUUCUGUUUCUCUUAUGAUGUUUAUAGCUAGUGGAGGGGGCAAAUCUUUCAGAGAAUAAUACACAUUUGUUAUAAGGGCAACAUGCACAGAGCAUCUAUAUCCAGACUGUACUUCAGCUGGCUUCAAUACCACCAUAUAUUGAUACAUUAUGAUCAUUUUGGUAUGUGUGUUUGGAAGCACCCCUGGUUUUAAGGACAGAAGACCAUGUGAAAUAGUAUAUUUGUAGGUUCCUGACAGUUGCUUAGAAGGGAUGGAGCCAGCCUGACUUUCUUUAGGAAACAGUUUCACAGUUGAAGAUAACAGUAAAGAAAAAGCCUGUUACAUGGACUCAUCAACUUAGCCUGGGAAGGGGGGCACACAAUUGGAUCAAGUAUAGUAAAACAGCAACCCUAAUCACCAGACAUGCUCUCUGAGGCUGAUGAGAGAUGUGUUUCAAAACACAGCAUCUCUAGAUAAUGCCCCUUUAAAUUGUUUCUCCUGCUUAUAAAAGAAACAUGUAAGAAAAUGCUAGCAAGAAACUCAUAUAGUUAAUGAACCUAUGGACAUAAUCUAUUGGCAUUCCAGUGUAAGUCAGAGUUUACAGUGAUAAGCAAAUGCUCCCCCAUCAUAUAAUACAACGGAAGCCAGUGAAAUCUGUAUCAAUCACAAUCCACUGGAGAAUUCCAAAAUAAAUUGUUCAAAAUGCUGAGGAUGCAACAUCCAUGAUAAACAGGUUAAUUAUGUCCUCAUAAUUAAAUCUAAAUUUCCUGUUCAUUUGUUCUGGAUUUUUAAUUUUGAAUGAAACACAUUUUAUCAUUCAUGUUAUGUAGACAAGUUCUCUCGGGUCUUACUGAUGGCUAGAUGAUAAAUCAAGUUUUGGAAACUUACUCAUUAACUUUUGUUAAAAUGAAAUAUAUGUGAUAUCCUCCAAAACUGCCAACAUAGGGGUGAAAAAGAUGGUUAAAAAGAGCCAGCUUUCUGGCGGACUGGGGGUGUGGCGUUAAGACAACAGCAUGCCUCCCGUCCACUGGAAAGCCGCACAGCUGACUGCACAUGCAGCAGUGUUUCAGUAGUGCAUCAUUUACACACACUGCACUAAAGAAACAUUGAAAGAAUGCUGCUGCUGAAGCAGCAAUAGCACCCUUCUUACAGCGCAAAAAGCAGUGGCUUUCUGCCUCUCCUUUUUGCGCCAGGAAAAGGUCAUGAUGGAGCGUGGCAUGUGGUUGCCAUGGCCGCAACCCAGCAAGCAAAGGGGUGGCAGAAAGUCAUUCCUUACCUGCCAUCUGUUUCGCCCCUUGGUUGCUUUUUUAAAAAAGUGAUCCAUUAAAUUAACUAAUUUAAUACAAAGUAUGACUAAGCAGAAGUUGCUCAACCUUUUAUGCCUAAAGCUCCCUAGAGAUCAUUUAAAAACCACUAUUCUUAGUAAACCAGAAAUUUAUAUUACAAGACAUGACUCACGAAUGAGUGUUAUGUGUGGUAGCAAACCAAGGAAUGGGCUCUCAUUGUGUGGAUCUAUAUUACACUGAGCAAGACUCAUCUUUGCCAAGUUACUGCCUCUAAUUUUUCUCAAGCUGUAUGAUGUCAGACAGAAAAUACAAGUUUGUACUUGAUGUUUGUUUAGGAGUGGUUAUGUUCCUUUAAAAUAUUCAAGAUGUACUGUAUAAAGUGUAUAGAAAAGCCACCGCAUGGUGGUAACAAUGUUAGGGUCAGCUAAACCCAAACCUACAUAGACCAACUCUCCAGGUGAAGAUCACAAGAAGCAUGCAACUCUUUUGUUACAGCAAAUUCACUGGUGAGUAGUCUCUUUCCAGGAAAUAUUUUGAGGAGAGAGGCAGGGUCUUGAAUAAAUAAACAAACAAAUUCAAUCAAUCCUUUCUUGAGAUGUAUGUGUACAUGAUUACAAAUAGAUCCCUGAAAUCAUUAACUUGAGUAAAGGAAUGUGUUGCUUUCACCAUUCAAAGACAGAAAGGAAACUCUUAAUGUUCAUACAGUCUGGCCAACAUGACCACAAAGAGGGGAUUCCAGACCUGGUGAUUUUUUUUAAGUGUGCCUCCAAAUGUUUGCCAGAAGCAGAUCCGAGUGAUGGGUGGGGAUGACCAGUAAGUAAUUUUGGGCUGGUUGACCAAGUAAGCACCUCUGGAAUAGGGUGAUGACUUUGAGCCAAGGAGGACAAAGUGCCCUCCUUCUGACCACCAUCUUGAGGGGGAGAGAGGCAGGCCAGCAACAACAGGCCUUGCCUGAAGGACAAAGAGCCCUCCUUCCGACCACCAUCUUGAGGGGGAGAGAGGCAGGCCGGCGGCAACAAGCCUCAACUGAUGGCUUUGACUGCUUUGUACAUGGUUUUUGAGGAUUUUUGUUGAAUUGUAUGAGAUCGCUGAUGUCACUGUUGAUGUAUUGUAUUGCUUUGU